UCCGGUUGAUCCCGCCGGANACUACUGCUAUCAGGGUUCGGCUAAGCCAUGCGAGUCGAGAGGUGUAAGACCUCGGCGAACUGCUCAGUAACACGUAGCUAAUCUGCCCUAAAGUGGAGGAUAAACUUGGGAAACUGAGACUAAUACUCCAUAGACGAUUGAGGCUGGAAGGCGCUUUCGUUGAAAGAUUUAUCGCUUUAGGAUGGGGCUGCGGCCUAUCAGCCUGUUGUUGGGAUAAAAGCCCAACAAAGCUAUGACGGGUACGGGUCAUGAGAGUGAUUGCCCGGAGGUGGAUUCUGAGACAUGAAUCCGGGCCCUACGGGGCGCAGCAGGCGCGAAAACUUCUCAAUGGGCGAAAGCCUGAAGAGGGAACCUUGAGUGAUAUCGGCUAAGCUGGUAUCUUUUCUAUACUGUAAAUAGGUAGAGGAAUAAGUGGUGGGCAAGACGGUUGCCAGCCGCCGCGGUAAUAACCGCGCCNCGAGUUGUAGUCACGAUUAUUGGGUCUAAAGCAUCCG
rnacentral:rRNA from 1 species